rnacentral:misc_RNA from 1 species
GUAUAAGUUUAGGAGGUAUUACAACCCCAUUAACAUUCUAAGACAUUCUGAUAGAGUAUAUGUAAAAUAACAUAGAGCAAGAUAUAUUCCUAGGGAAAAGCUACAUUUCACAGCAGCAAGCCCCAAAACAAACCGAGUGUAACCUCGAGGAGUAAUAUUAUCUUAUUCUACAAAAGGUGCACAGGUGAUAGAAAUUGAUUAAUGGCAAGUGUGCACAAUGCUCCAGAGAGCCAGCAACAACCAUACCAGAUUUAUUUCAAUAAUGAUCCUUCCGCAGGUUCACCUACGGAAA